rnacentral:rRNA from 1 species
AUUGAACGCUGGCGGCAUGCCUUACACAUGCAAGUCGAACGGUAACAGGUUAAGCUGACGAGUGGCGAACGGGUGAGUAAUAUAUCGGAACGUGCCCACUAGUGGGGGAUAGCCCGGCGAAAGCCGGAUUAAUACCGCAUGAGACCUGAGGGUGAAAGCGGGGGAUCGCAAGACCUCGCGCUAGUGGAGCGGCCGAUAUCAGAUUAGGUAGUUGGUGGGGUAAAGGCCUACCAAGCCUGCGAUCUGUAGCUGGUCUGAGAGGAUGACCAGCCACACUGGGACUGAGACACGGCCCAGACUCCUACGGGAGGCAGCAGUGGGGAAUUUUGGACAAUGGGCGCAAGCCUGAUCCAGCCAUGCCGCGUGCGGGAAGAAGGCCUUCGGG